rnacentral:rRNA from 1 species
AGUCGAGGGGCAGCAUUUCAGUUUGCUUGCAAACUGGAGAUGGCGACCGGCGCACGGGCUGAGUAACACGCUAUCCNACCUGCCGAUAACUCGGGGAUAGCCUUUCGAAAGAAAGAUUAAUACCCGAUGGUAUAAUCAGACCGCANGGUCUUAUUAUUAAAGAAUUUCGGUUAUCGAUGGGGAUGCGUUCCAUUAGGCAGUUGGUGAGGUAACGGCUCACCAAACCUUCGAUGGAUAGGGGUUCUGAGAGGAAGGUCCCCCACAUUGGAACUGAGACACGGUCCAAACUCAUACGGGAGGCAGCAGUGAGGAAUAUUGGUCAAUGGGCGCAGGCCUGAACCAGCCAAGUAGCGUGAAGGAUGACUGCCCUAUGGGUUGUAAACUUCUUUUAUAUGGGAAUAAAGUUUUCCACGUGUGGAAUUUUGUAUGUACCAUAUGAAUAAGGAUCGGCUAACUCCGUGCCAGCAGCCGCGGUAAUACGGAGGAUCCGAGCGUUAUCCGGAUUUAUUGGGUUUAAAGGGAGCGUAGGUGGACAGUUAAGUCAGUUGUGAAAGUUUGCGGCUCAACCGUAAAAUUGCAGUUGAUACUGGCUGUCUUGAGUACAGUAGAGGUGGGCGGAAUUCGUGGUGUAGCGGUGAAAUGCUUAGAUAUCACGAAGAACUCCGAUUGCGAAGGCAGCUCACUGGACUGCAACUGACACUGAUGCUCGAAAGUGUGGGUAUCAAACAGGAUUAGAUACCCUGGUAGUCCACACAGUAAACGAUGAAUACUCGCUGUUUGCGAUAUACAGUAAGCGGCCAAGCGAAAGCAUUAAGUAUUCCACCUGGGGAGUACGCCGGCAACGGUGAAACUCAAAGGAAUUGACGGGGGCCCGCACAAGCGGAGGAACAUGUGGUUUAAUUCGAUGAUACGCGAGGAACCUUACCCGGGCUUAAAUUGCAUUUGAAUANUNUGGAAACAGNUUAGCCGCAAGGCAAAUGUGAAGGUGCUGCAUGGUUGUCGUCAGCUCGUGCCGUGAGGUGUCGGCUUAAGUGCCAUAACGAGCGCAACCCUUAUCUUUAGUUACUAACAGGUCAUGCUGAGGACUCUAGAGAGACUGCCGUCGUAAGAUGUGAGGAAGGUGGGGAUGACGUCAAAUCAGCACGGCCCUUACGUCCGGGGCUACACACGUGUUACAAUGGGGGGUACAGAAGGCAGCUACCUGGUGACAGGAUGCUAAUCCCAAAAGCCUCUCUCAGUUCGGAUCGAAGUCUGCAACCCGACUUCGUGAAGCUGGAUUCGCUAGUAAUCGCGCAUCAGCCAUGGCGCGGUGAAUACGUUCCCGGGCCUUGUACACACCGCCCGUCAAGCCAUGAAAGCCGGGGGUACCUGAAGUACGUAACCGCAAGAG